GCGGAAGUGGUGAAAUUGGUAUACACGCUAGGUUCAGGUCCUAGUGGGGGAUAACCCCGUGUGGGUUCGAGUCCCACCUUCCGCACCA
rnacentral:tRNA from 1 species